GAUGAAGAACGCAGCGAAAUGCGAUAAGUAGUGUGAAUUGCAGAAUUCAGUGAAUCAUCGAAUCUUUGAACGCACAUUGCGCCCCAUGGUAGUCCGUGGGGCAUGCCUGUUCGAGCGUCAUUUACCCCCUCAAGCUCCGCUUGGUGUUGGGCGUCUGUCCCGCUUCGCGCGCGGACUCGCCCCAAAGGUAUUGGCAGCGGUCGUGCCAGCUUCUCGCGCAGCACAUUGCGCUUCUCGAGGCACCGGUGGGCCCGCGUCCAUCAAGCUCACCCCCCCAGUUUGACCUCGGAUCAGGUAGGGAUACCCGCUGAACUUAAGCAUAUCAAUAAGCGGAGGA
rnacentral:misc_RNA from 1 species